rnacentral:sRNA from 2 species
CCAACUAGACUGGCUCUUCAUCAGAUUCAAGUCUUCGCAAACCGGCUCGCAGCGAAUCCUCAGAUAUGCCGGAACUGAUCGAGAUCAAGGUUUGAACUCGAGUGAUGCUCCAUCAAUGAAUCUAUGACUGCAUAAGAACGGUGAGAGAGUUGAGAGAGUUGUUGGCGAACUACGAAGGACCUCUCGGGUGGGUCUAUUUCUGGAACAGCAACAAUCCAAGGCAAAGUUUCGUGACAAUUACGGUACGAUGGUCCGUUGAUGGACCAUUAAUUGCACCUAGGCUAAUGGAUUAGUGGUAAAGUGAUACUUAAUGGGGAUUAUAAUUUAGGGGCGAUUUAGGGCCGAACACUGUCAUUAUACCUAGAACUC